AGAAAAACAGAGAAGGAAGGAAAGAAGGAAGGAAGGAAGGCAGGCAGGCAGGCAGGCCUCUAUGAGAAACAUAGUUCCCUGGCCAGCCUCUAGCUGCUGUUUUUUUUGUGGGGGAGUGGGGAUGGAGUCUCACUCUGUUGCCCAGGUUGAAGUGCAGUGGUACAAUCUCAGCUCACUGCAACCUCUGCCUGCCAGGUUCAAGCGAUUCUCCUGCUUCAGCCUCCUGAGUAGCUGGGGUUACAAGCAUGAACCACCAUGUUUGGCUAAUUUUUUCUUUUUCUUUCUUUCUUUCUUUCUUUCUUUCUUUCUUUCUUUCUUUCUUUUUUUUUUGAGACAGAUUCUUGCUCCGUAGCCCGAGCUAGAGUGCAGUGGUGCAAUCUUGGCUCAUUACAACCUCCGUCUCCCAGGUUCAAGUGAUUCUCCUGCCUCAGCCUCCUGAGUAGCUGGGACUACAGUGGCGAGCCACCAUGCCCAGCUAGUUUUUGUAUUUUUAGUAGAGACGGGGUUUCACUGUGUUGGUCAGGCUGGUCUCGAACUCCUGACCUCAGGUGAUCUGCCUGCAUCGGCCUCCCAAAGUGCUGGGAUUACAGGCAUGAGCCACUGUGCCCGGCCACGCCUGGCUAAUUUUUUGUAUUUUUAGUAGAGAAAGGGUUUCACCAUGUUGGCUAGUCUGGUUUCAAACUCCUGACCUCAAGUGAUUUGCCUGCCUUGGGCUCUCAAAGUGCUAGGAUUACAGGUGUGAGCCAUCAUGCCCAGCCAGCUGCCAUUUUUGGAUCCACCUCAGUUCUCACACUGAGGCCACUUUCUGGUUUACUUCCACUCAAUGACUGCACACAGUAGGGGUACUAAGUGUGAGGUACAUAAUACACAGCCACUGAUUUAGUAAAUGCAUUUUUUCCCCUACUUCUAUCAGGAAAGAGACUAGAAAUAGUUCACAUCCAUGUGGGACGACAAUAUUUACUCAGUUUUGCCCCAAGAAUAAUAUUUGCUCCUUUGAUGAUAAAAUGUGAAUUAUAGGCUGUUAUAGUUUGGAUAUUUGUCCCCACCCACAUCUCAUGUUGAAUUGUAAUCCCCAGUGCUGAAUGUGGGGCCUGCCCAGAGGUGUUUGGAUCAUGGGGGUGGAUCCCUCAUAGCUUGGUACUGUCUUUUCAGUUCUCUCGAGAUCUAGUCAUUUAAAAGUGUGUAGCAUCUGCCCCCUGACCUUGUUCCUGCUUUCACCAUGUGAUGUGCCUGCUUCCCCUUUGCCUUCUGCCACGAUUGGAAGUUUCCUGAGGCCUCCCCAGAAGCAGAUGCUGCUAUGCUUCCUGUACAGCCUGUAGAACCAUGAGCCAAUUAAACCUCUUUUCUUAUAAAUUACCCAGUCUCAGCUAUUUCUGUAUAGCAAUCUAAGAGAAAAUUGGCACCGGGGUGGGGAAUUACUAUAAAGAUACCUGAAAAUGUGGAAGUCAUUUUGGAACUAUGUAACAGGCAGAGGCUGAAAGAGUUUGGAAGGCUCAGAAAAAGACAGGAAGAUGAGGGAAGGUUUAAAACUUCUUAGAGACUGGUUAAAUUGUUGUGACCAAAAUGCUGAUAGUGAUAUGGACAGCGAGAUCCAAGCUGCUGAGUCUCAGAUGGAAAUGAUGAAGAAAGUUGGAGCUUACAUUUAAAAGGGAAGCAGAAUAUAAAAGUUUGGAAAUUUUGUAGUCUGCCCAUGUGGCAAAGAAAGAAAAAGCUUUCUCAAAAGAGGGAUACAAGCAGGCUGUGGAGCAACCACUUGCUAGAGAUAUUUGCGUAAUUAAAAAGGAGUGAGGCCGGGCGCGGUGGUUCACCCCUGUAAUCCCAGCACUUUGGGAGGCCGAGGCUGGCGGAUCAUGAGGUCAGGAGAUAGCGACCAUCCUGGCUAACACGGUGAAACCCCAUCUCUACUAAAAAUACAAAAAAUUAACCAGGUUCAGUGGCGGGUGCCUGUAGUCCCAGCUACUCGGGAGUCUGGGGCAGGAGAAUGGUAUGAACCUGGGAGGCGGAGCUUGCAGUGAGCCGAGAUCGCGCCACUGCACUCCGGCCUGGGCAAAAGAGCGAGACUCCGUCUAAAAAAAAAAGGAGCCAGUGCUAAUGUGUCUGGAAUUGGUGGGUUCUUGGUCACACUGACUUCAAGAAUGAAACUGCGGACCCUUGCGGUGAGUGUUACAGCUCUUAAGGUGGUGUGUCUGGAGUUUGUUCCUUCUGAUGUUCGGAUGUGUUCGGAGUUUCUUCCUUCUGGUGGGUUCGUGGUCUCGCUGGCUCAGGAGUGAAGCUGCAGACCUUUGCGGUGAGUGUUACAGCUCUUAAGGCGGCACAUCUGGAGUUGUUCGUUCCUCCCGGCGGGCUCGUGGUCUCGCUGGCUUCAGGAGUGAAGCUGCAGGCCUUCGUGGUGAGUGUUACAGCUCAUAAAAGCAGCAUGGACCCAAAGAGUGAGCAGUAGCAAGAUUUAUUGCAAAGAGCAAAAGAACAAAGCUUCCACAGUGUGGAAGGGGACCCAAGCGGGUUGCCACUGCUGGCUGGGGCAGCCUGGUUUCAUUCUCUUAUCUGGCCCCACCCACGUCCUGCUGAUUGGUAGAGCCCAGUGGUCUGUUUUGACAGGGCGCUGAUUGGUGCGUUUACAAUCCCUGAGCUGGAUACAAAGGUUCUCCACGUCCCCAUCAGAUUAGAUACAGAGUAUCCACACAAAGGUUCUCCACGUCCCCAUCAGAUUAGAUACAGAGUAUCCACACAAAGGUUCUCCAAGGCCCCACCAGAGCAGAUAGAUACAGAGUGUCCAUUGGUGCACUCACAAACCCUGAGCUAGACACAGGGUGCUGAUUGGUGUGUUUACAAACCUUGAGCUAGAUACAGAGUGCCGAUUGGUGUAUUUACAAUCCCUGAGCUAGACAUAAAGGUUCUUCACGGCCCCACCAGAGCAGCUAGAUACAGAGUGUCAAUUGGUGCACUCACAAACCCUGAGCUAGACACAGGGUGCUGACUGGUGUGUUUACAAACCUUGAGCUAGAUACAGAGUGCCGAUUGGUGUAUUUAUGUCUAGCUCAGGGAUUGUAAAGGUUCUCCAAAGCCCCACCAGAUUCAGGAGCCCAGCUGGCUUCACCCGGUGAAUCCCGCACCGGGGCUGCAGGUGGAGCUGCCUGCCAGUCCCCUGCGUGCGCCCGCACUCCUCAGCCCUUGGGUGGUCGAUGGGACUGGGUGCCGUGGAGCAGGGGGUGGC
rnacentral:lncRNA from 1 species